UUAUCCGGGUUGCGGACAGUGUCUGGUGGGUAGUUUGACUGGGGCGGUCUCCUCCUAAAGAGUAACGGAGGAGCACGAAGGUUGGCUAAUCCUGGUCGGACAUCAGGAGGUUAGUGCAAUGGCAUAAGCCAGCUUGACUGCGAGCGUGACGGCGCGAGCAGGUGCGAAAGCAGGUCAUAGUGAUCCGGUGGUUCUGAAUGGAAGGGCCAUCGCUCAACGGAUAAAAGGUACUCCGGGGAUAACAGGCUGAUACCGCCCAAGAGUUCAUAUCGACGGCGGUGUUUGGCACCUCGAUGUCGGCUCAUCACAUCCUGGGGCUGAAGUAGGUCCCAAGGGUAUGGCUGUUCGCCAUUUAAAGUGGUACGCGAGCUGGGUUUAGAACGUCGUGAGACAGUUCGGUCCCUAUCUGCCGUGGGCGCUGGAGAACUGAGGGGGGCUGCUCCUAGUACGAGAGGACCGGAGUGGACGCAUCACUGGUGUUCGGGUUGUCAUGCCAAUGGCACUGCCCGGUAGCUAAAUGCGGAAGAGAUAAGUGCUGAAAGCAUCUAAGCACGAAACUUGCCCCGAGAUGAGUUCUCCCUGACUCCCUGAGAGUCCUGAAGGAACGUUGAAGACGACGACGUUGAUAGGCCGGGUGUGUAAGCGCAGCGAUGCGUUGAGCUAACCGGUACUAAUGAACCGUGAGG
rnacentral:rRNA from 1 species